GGGGGCGGGGGGAGGGGGGGGGGUGGGGGGCGGGGAAGGGGUGAGAGGGAGCGUGGGGGUAAGGGGCGGAGCACUGCGGAGAGUUCGCGGCGGCGGGGGGGGUUGGCACCGCGAUGGCGGCGCGUGGCAGCCUGGGGCUGUAGGAGGUUGCAAGGGUUGGGCUGUUCGCCCAUUAAAGCGGUACGCGAGCUGGGUUCAGAACGUCGUGGGACAGUUCGGGCCCUAUCCGGCGCAGGCGGAGGAAAUUUGAUAGGAGCUGUCCUUAGUACGAGAGGACCGGGAUGGACGGACCGCUGGUG
rnacentral:rRNA from 1 species